rnacentral:rRNA from 1 species
GACGGAGGAUCCAAGCGUUAUCCGGAAUCAUUGGGUUUAAAGGGUCCGUAGGCGGUUUGGUAAGUCAGUGGUGAAAGCCCAUCGCUCAACGGUGGAACGGCCAUUGAUACUGCCAGACUUGAAUUAUUAGGAAGUAACUAGAAUAUGUAGUGUAGCGGUGAAAUGCUUAGAGAUUACAUGGAAUACCAAUUGCGAAGGCAGGUUACUACUAAUGGAUUGACGCUGAUGGACGAAAGCGUGGGUAGCGAACAGG